rnacentral:ncRNA from 1 species
UAACCUUAGAUUAGGUAGGAAUACCUACUGAACUUAAGUAUAUUAAUAAGUAGAGAAAAAGAAACUAAUAGGGAUUACCUUAGUAACGGUGAGUAAAGCGGUAACAGCUUAAAUUUGAAAUCUGGCCCUAGACCUGAGUUAUAAUUUAUAGAGGAUGCUUUUAGCGCGGUGCCUUCUGAGUUCCCUAGAACGGGACGCUAUAGAGGGUAAGAGCCCCGUACGGUUAGAUACUAAGCCUUUAUAAAGCUCCUUUAAUAAGUCAAGUAGUUUAGGAAUACUACUUAAAAUAGGAGGUAUAUUUCUUUUAAAGCUAAAUAUUAGCUAGAGACCGAUAGCGUAUAAGUAGAGUAAUUGAAAGAUAAAAAGUACUUUAAAAAGAGGGUUAAAUAGUAUGUGAAAUUAUUAAAAGGGAAGCGCUUAUAACCAGACUUACGCCCGGUAAAUCACCUAGCUCUUAUAGCUGGGGCACUUUGCCGGUACAGGCCAGCAUUAGCUUACCGUUAGGGUCAAACGCUUUAGGAACGUAGCUCUGUUUAGGGAGUGUUAUAGCCCGUUGUAUAAUACCCUUCAGCGGGCUAAGGUACGCACUCCGUAAGAAUACUAGUGUAAUGGUUAUUAGCGACCCGUCUUAAAAUAUAGACUAAGGAGUUAACCUUAUAUAUAAGUAUUUAGGUGUUAAACCCCUAUAUGUAAUAAAAGUAAACGUAGGUAAGAGCUUUAGUGUAUUAUUAACCGAUCCUAAUAUUCUUAGAUGGAUUUAAGUAAGAGUAUAUAGGGUUAGACCUAAAAGAAGGUGAACUAUAUGUAUAUAGGGUGAAGCUAGAGGAAACUUUAGUAGAGGCUUAUAGCGGUUUUAAUAUAUAAAUCGAUUAUUAAAUAUACGUAUAGGGGCAAAAGACUAAUUAAACCUUUUAGUAGCUAGUUUCUAUUAAAGUUUCCCUUAGGAUAGCAGUAUUAAACUUAGUUUUAUAAGGUAAAGCGAAUAAUUAGGGACUUAGGGGCGCUAUAUUACCUUUAUCCAUUCUUAAACUUUAAAUAUAUAAGAAGCCCUUAUUACUUAAUUAAACGUAGGUAUUCAAAUGUAUUAACACUCGUGGGCCAUUUUUGGUAAGCAGAACUGGCGAUGCGGGAUGAACCGACUUUAUAACCCUUUAAUUCCUCUAGCUUGCUUUCUGUUACGGCCAGCCUUCUAAUAGUAAGGGGUCUAAUAGUAGAAGCUGAGGUUUAACCCUAAACUGAUUCUUACUAGUACGCUGCGUUAGUCUUAUUAAUAUAAUCGUAGUGC